GACGAACGCUGGCGGCGUGCUUAACACAUGCAAGUCGAACGCUGAAGCUUGGUGCUUGCACUGGGUGGAUGAGUGGCGAACGGGUGAGUAAUAAGUGAGUAACCUGCCCUUGACUCUGGGAUAAGCCUGGGAAACUGGGUCUAAUACUGGAUACGACAUGUCACCGCAUGGUGGUGUGUGGAAAGGGUUUUACUGGUUUUGGAUGGGCUCACGGCCUAUCAGCUUGUUGGUGGGGCAAUGGCUCACCAAGGCGACGACGGGUAGCCGGCCUGAGAGGGUGACCGGCCACACUGGGACUGAGACACGGCCCAGACUCCUACGGGAGGCAGCAGUGGGGAAUAUUGCACAAUGGGCGGAAGCCUGAUGCAGCGACGCCGCGUGAGGGAUGACGGCCUUCGGGUUGUAAACCUCUUUCAGCACGGAAGAAGCGAAAGUGACGGUACGUGCAGAAGAAGCGCCGGCUAACUACGUG
rnacentral:rRNA from 1 species